UUAGCAGGUGAUCCAGGUACAUGAACAGGAAGGGAACCUUGACUCUUAAAGUGUUCAAUGACUCCAUUUUGUGUGAACAGAGCAGAAGGAUGAAGACUGAAGGCUGAAGCACGACUGACUUCAGAUCAGAAGAUGAGUGAUUGUGUGGAGGACGAGGAGGACAGAGCAAAGUUUCUAGUCCCUGACUGUUUGUCCAUGAAGAGUGACGGGUCCAAAAGUGAACCUCUGGACUUCAGUAAUGAACCUGGACCCUCAGAGUCAAAAGUUCAGUUCAGACCGAGAGCAGAGUCUCCAGUACCCAGCUG